UACGUAGGGUGCGAGCGUUAAUCGGAAUUACUGGGCGUAAAGCGUGCGCAGGCGGUUUUGUAAGCCAGGUGUGAAAUCCCCGGGCUCAACCUGGGAAUGGCAUUUGGGACUGCAAGGCUGGAGUGUGGCAGAGGAGACUGGAAUUCCUGGUGUAGCAGUGAAAUGCGUAGAUAUCAGGAGGAAUACCGAUGGCGAAGGCGGGUCUCUGGGCGAUACUGACGCUGAGGUGCGAAAGCGUGGGGAGCAAACAGG
rnacentral:rRNA from 1 species